CAGUCGCCACGGUAAUACGUAGGGUGCAAGCGUUAAUCGGAAUUACUGGGCGUAAAGCGUGCGCAGGCGGUUUGUUAAGACAGAUGUGAAAUCCCCGGGCUCAACCUGGGAACUGCAUUUGUGACUGGCAAGCUAGAGUGUGGCAGAGGGGGGUGGAAUUCCGCGUGUAGCAGUGGAAUGCGUAGAUAUGCGGAGGAACACCGAUGGCGAAGGCAGCCCCCUGGGCCAACACUGACGCUCAUGCGCGAGAGCGUGGGGAGCAAGCAGGAUUAGAUACCCGGGUAGUCCCUGUCUCUUAUAA
rnacentral:rRNA from 1 species